GCCGGGCAUGGUGGUGCACGCCUGUAAUCCCAGCGACUCAAGGCUGAGGCAGGAGGAUUGCAAGUUCAAAGCCAGCCUCAGCAACUUGGCAAGGCCUUAAGAAACUCAGCAAGACCCUGUCUCAA
rnacentral:sRNA from 1 species